UAAGCGGAGGAAAAGAAACUAACAAGGAUUCCCCUAGUAGCGGCGAGCGAAGCGGGAAGAGCUCAAAUUUAUAAUCUGGCGCUUUCAGCGUCCGAGUUGUAAUCUCUAGAAGUGUUUUUGCAGCUCAAAUUGGGUGGUAAAUUCCAUCUAAAGCUAAAUAUUGGCGAGAGACCGAUAGGAACAAGUACCGUGAGGGAAAGAUGAAAAGCACUUUGGAAAGAGAGUUAACAGUACGUGAAAUUGUUGGAAGGGAAACGCUUGAAGUCAGACUUGCUAUUCGGGGCUUGCUCCGAGUUGCAGGCCAGCAUCAGUUUUUCGGGGCGGAAAAUCACGGAUUGAAGGUAGCAGUUUCGGCUGUGUUAUAGCUUUCCGUUGGAUACGUCCUGGGGGACUGAGGAACGCAGUGUGCUUUUAGCGAGGGCUUCGGCUCUUUCACACUUAGGAUGCUGGUGGAAUGGCUUUAAACGACCCGUCUUGAAA
rnacentral:rRNA from 1 species